ensembl:lncRNA
AUGAAAAAUAUAAUUUUCUUCUGUGUACUUUGGUUUGGAUAUAUGCAAAUCCCAACCAGUGAUGCAUCUAUAUCAAUACAAGGAUCUUCUGAUCUGCUGAGAGUUCAGAAGGGAGAAAGCAUCAUUAUGAAAUGCAACAUGAGAAACCGAUAUGAAAUCGCCUGGUAUCACCUCAGAGCUAACCGAUUCAAUCUGUUGAUUUCUGCACAGACUGACAUAACAGGGAGAAAAUUUCUGACCACCUACAAUCUAUUCCAAACUCGUCUGAAAAUCGCUGCAGACACAUGGAUCACCAGAGCCACGCUAGAGAUUUCUGGAGUAACAGAGUCAGAUUCAGAGAUGCACUUCGAUCGACCCAUCAGACUAGAGAUCGAGGGUCAACAUGCCGAGGAUCUGAGUACCGAACUGCCAAAAGAAGCUGACAACACAGAUGAGGUGACGCUGAUGGAGCGUGUGCUUAUGUUUGGUGGUGCUGGACUUGCUGCGUUUGUGUUUUUUCUGGCUACAGUCAUUGCAGGAGGACUCCUUCACUAUCACGGUUGGCAGAAAGGAUGGAGCGCAGCCAAUCAUGCUGGUCCUGCUGAUCAAAAAUUACCUAGAUGA